UCACAAGGCAACUCCUUAUCUGCAGCCCCUCUGAGGAGUGGAAUUAGCAUCAAAAUACAAACCCAAGGCAAUCCACAACAAUGUUGCACCGAGCGGAGCGUAACCUGAGGACUGGACUGUUUCUACAUUAAAGCGAUGACUCUGCUCCCUCUUUCCAUCUCAUCAAGGCUGCCAGAAGAUGAAGGCCAUUUGUCCCACACCUCCACAGCCCAAACCGCGGAGAAUGGCUGUGUUAUCUCCUAAUGCACUCGCCAAAGCACGCGCCCCUGCAUAGGAGAACCUGCAUUAAGUUAUUACCAAAUGGAGAGAUUUGGCCCCAAACUAUUUGCCAUCCCAGAGCUGAAAUCAGCAGUGAGGAGGUUUGCGACUUUCUCAGAGUUAUUUUACAGUGUGUAUGGAAACAUGAGAAGGGGAGCAGGAGGAGGACCCCAGGGGGAAGAACAAGAGAUGAAGCCAAGAGCGCUCAUCGUCUGGGCACCGGGGUUCAGUGUCUGGGAAGCCAACAGGCUCACACCAUAGAAGACCCUUUUAUGCCUCAACUUUAGCCAGUCAGUUGUUCAAGGAGGGGGGAAAAGAGUGCCUUGAAAAGAACUCUGCCUUCUUGGAGCCCCACCCUUCCGGAGCUCCACCCUCUCAGAGCCACGCCCUCCUGGAGCACCGCCCUUCUGAAACUCUGAUCUGCCCCUCUGGUUAGCAGGCCAGCCUCAUCCUCCCACCUCUCUAUGUCCUGUGCUCUCCCUCAUGUCUCUCCAUACAGCCGGAUAGGACACUCCCAGGAUGGAAGAUGAAAUCCACCCUUGUAAGCCUGUUGUUGGAACCACAUGUAAUGCCACAAAAAGCCCUGCACACAGAAGCUUCUUCAGAUGUUGUGAAUAGCACUACCAAUAGGUACUUUAGAACAAAGGGCACAUUGAAAAAAAAAAGAUACUCAUUUUUUUCUAGCAAAAUAAAAAAAAAUGCCACAAA